ACCAUUACUGUGUUAAUUUAUUUCUUUCCUUUCUUUUCAUCACCUUUUCUUCUUCUUGUUCUUUUAUUUCUGGGAUUUUGUUCUUGCCACACCGCUGCGCUCACAGCCAAUCUCAUCUCUCUUCUCUCUGCUACGAUAAAUUUCAUCUAUCAAACUGAGAUUAUUAUCUCACAUACACAUCUCUCUCAGCUUGGUGGUUGGAUUAGCUAAAAGUCUAUGUUGCUAGAAAAAGGAAAAAGGAGAUAGUGUUGUUCUUUUUCUUGAAAGAAAGAAGAUAUUGCUAUAUGCCGAUCGGGAAGAAGAAAGUCAUACAGAUCUUGCAAAAUUGGUUUGGAUUGAUCGGCUAGGGCUUGACAUGCGUAUUUGGUCUCCUCGGAAUGGCUGCAUCUUGGGUUGAACUCUUUAUCUUCAAAGGAUCUUAGGCCAUCCAAAUUGAGUUUUAUAAUCAUGUACAAGGCUUUGCUUGUGAUUAUACCCGGACCACGCAGAGAGAUUACAAUUUAGAGAUUGUAAUAUCUCAAAAUUGAAAUUUGUGAGCAUCUAGUUUUGAGAAACUAGAUUGAGUAUGAUAUUCUCUCUCCUCCAUCAGUGAGCAUCUAAGCACAUUGUGCCUCACCCCACUAGCACCGUGUCGACAUACCUCCAGCGAAUCAAACCCGGUCUCCGAGCGGUUCCGUCACCCCGGCGAGCGACUUCACGCGCCAACCCAGAGACACCCAGAUCUUUGUCAUCAACCCCAGUGCCCAGUUACCAGCCUCGUUUCUUGGCGGCGACUUGUCGCAUGACUCGCAUCUAGUUCGGUGACAUAACUUAUCUUGGCAGCUCUCGAUCCGCACCGAAUAUCGAUGAAUUACCAGCCUUCUCCGGUCAAAUCAUGAGUCUAGGAGGGUAUGGGUAUGUUU